rnacentral:lncRNA from 1 species
AUGAGUUGCUCGGCCCGGCCCAGCCCACACCCUCGCGCCCGCCCCACUCUCAGCGCACGGUCACUUCACGCACGCGGCCCUCGGCCCCUCCCGGCCCCGCCCGCCCCCCUGCCCCUCGGGAACCCCACGAACGCCCCCGCCGUGCUGCCCACGCGGGGCUCGGAGGCCCGGACCCCGCACGACCGGCAGCCUCUGCGCGCGCCUCUCAUCUGCAUACGCCCCGCCUUCUCUCCGCGGCCCCGCCCCGCUCUCCCCAGCCGGAGGGGCGCGGGGCGGGCUGGAGCCCGCCGAGCGCGUCCCCUCUCGUCCCUCUCGUCCCUCUCGUCCCUCUCGUCCCUCUCGUCCCCCUCCUCCCCUCUCCUCCCCUCUCGGAGCCCGAGGCUCGAAAGUAGAAGCGGCUGGAUUUCCUCGCCGGCUCCGUCCGACUUCGCCCCCGGGGAAGGAGCCGCAGCCCCGCGCGGCGGCCCUCCCGACGCUGCCCCGGGUGGCCUCUCCCUCGGCUGCCCUCUGGCCGGCGGAGCGCGGUCUGUCCGCGGAAACGAGGGUCGGACCGAGAGACCCGCGAGGCCGGGCGGGAGCAGGGUGCCGCGCCAGUGCCGGGCACCCACGGCUUCUCUGAGAAGCCGUGGGAGAAAGCAGAUCCCAGCUAGCAGCGCUCAGUGUGUGCUCCUGUGUCUCUCUUGUCUGGUCUGCGUAUGUGGCGGGGCGUAUGCAGAUGAGAGGCGCGCGCAGAGGCUGCCGGUCGUGCGGGGUCCGGGCCUCCGAGCCCCGCGUGGGCAGCACGGCGGGGGCGUUCGUGGGGUUCCCGAGGGGCAGGGGGGCGGGCGGGGCCGGGAGGGGCCGAGGGCCGCGUGCGUGAAGUGACCGUGCGCUGAGAGUGGGGCGGGCGCGAGGGUGUGGGCUGGGCCGGGCCGAGCAACUCAUACUUACCUGGCAGGGGAGAUACCAUGAUCACGAAGGUGGUUUUCCCAGGGCGAGGCUUAUCCAUUGCACUCCGGAUGUGCUGACCCCUGCGAUUUCCCCAAAUGUGGGAAACUCGACUGCAUAAUUUGUGGUAGUGGGGGACUGCGUUCGCGCUCUCCCCUGGUUUUCUGCGGUUGCUAAAAAUAGUGCUGCGCUGGGAAAUGAUUGGGUUGACGCCAAAGCAUCCUGCUUCUACAGGAUGCGCGGAGGGUCAAGACGAGUGCUGCGGUUGUAGGUAUUAACUGAGUUGUGGCACCAGCACUCUCGUGGGAACAACGUCGUUCAUGACUGCAGUUUUUAUGGUGUUCCUAGGAAAGAGGCGCAGCCUACGGAUUGUGUGAGGUCGAUCUCACGACACAGCUUCCCUCCAGCGAUGCUUAACUAAAAUCUUUUUUGUGCGCAGGCCUGCUUCCCCGGAGCUCACCACCCCCGGGAAAAAUGCUUACAGAAGCGAGUAAAAUUUUCCGCUACUAAUUUUUUGAAAUAAAUAUAAGGGAGGAUGUGUGUAUUUUAAAUUU